rnacentral:lncRNA from 1 species
GAAAGAUUGGACUGUGUCCGAGAUAUUUUUCUCUUUCUACCUGACGAUCUUUGGGGUAAGUAUGUUUUUCUUUUUUUUAUCUGGCUUGUUCUUUCUUUUCAGUUGGCGCACCAUAUGAACACUAUGGAGUGCGGGUAUCAAAAUUUUAUCGAGCUUUGUCAGAUGUGGAUGGACAAGGUCACUGUCGCCAAUGCCGAUAAAGCUGCUGUCAUGGAACAGCUUCAAGCGACAACUGAAUGAGAGAAGAAGCUCUAGGAAGAGAUCUCCCACGU